rnacentral:misc_RNA from 1 species
UGAACAAAAGCAAGGAUUCUGCUUUGAUGCAAAAUCAUCAAAGAAAAAUGAAUGUCAUUUCUGAAGGUGGUUUUAAAAUCUGAAUGUCUUUUGAACUCCUAACCUUACAGCAUGGAUGUAACUGAUGACAUUGUUGAAAUGUUCCAAGUGCAUCUUAUAACAGGAGUCAUUUUAUUGCUCUGCUGUGUUGGAAGUUCUCCUUGUUAACAUUUCUCGGUCACUUACCUUGCUUCCUUUUAAGUAAUUUUUAACUUUUUCUUGUAUAUAUGUCAGGCGGAAAACAUCAAAUUUCACUGGAAACAGAAAGCUCCUUGAAGUUAACUUACCAGAAAGUUCUCGAAAAUUUAUUACUUGCAUUCGAAAGUAUUUGUUGUUCUAUUUGAAAUUAUUGGAGGAAACUGGAGACAUUGGUACCCUGGAUCGUGCUUUUAUAUCUCUUCGGGCAGACAAAAGGUUUUCAUUGUGCAUUGAAGAUCUUGUACCAGUAGCCCUGGGGAGGUUCAUCAAGGCCCUUGUAUCAUCCAUGCAUCAAGCUGGCUCUGGUGCCUUGAGCAGCUCUGAGCAUCAAUUGGAGAAGAUGUUCACAUUAUUCAUGGAACAGGGAAACUUAUGGCCAGAAAUAUUCACCUUGCCUGAGAUCAGAAGCCCAGAAAUAUCAGAAGGAAGCUUAUAUGCCUAUCUCCACAGAUAUAUUGCAUCACUGGAGAGAAAUGGCAAGCUUGAGACACUUGAAGCAAUAAAUGAGAAGAUUCGGAAGCGUUUUAAGAAUCCCAAGUUGUCAAAUAGUAACUGUGCAAAAGUUUGCAGGCAUGCUUCUGUUGCUUGGUGUCGUUCUCUUGUAAUUAGUUUAGCAUUGAUCACUCCAUUACGACCUGGAACUCCAAUAGAGAUGCAGACCCUUAACCCAUCAGAUAGCAUUCUGGAAACUAGUCAUUUGCUUUGUGUUGAUCUGCAAACAAAUGAGUUUUGGAGUUCAGCAUUUGAGGAUUCUACCCUUUUUGAAAAUCUUGAAACAAAAUGGAAUCCAGUGUUGGAUAAAAUUAAGAACAUCAUUAUAGAAAGAGCUUCAGAUGAAAAUUUUGAGAUAGCCAAUUCCUUGCUUAGAAGCUCUUAUAAUUUCUUCCGUGAGAGUUCCUGUGUAAUGCUUCCAUCUGGUCUCAACCUUUAUUUGGUUCCAACUCGCCUACCAAUGGAAACACAACUUCAGCCUGUCUUAAAUGCGGUUGAAAUUCUAGAUCUGAGCAUUCCAAGGAAGCUCUUGUUAUGGGCUUACACUCUAUUGCAUGGCCGUUAUGCAAGCAUCUCUAUGGUUCUGAAACAUUGUGAAGAAAAUAUCAAGGUAACUUAAAUCUAAAGUGAAGUAUUCUCUGGCAUGCAAAAACAUUAAUAAUUGCUUUCUUGAAAAACAAACAAUAGCUGUGGACAGCUUUCUUGAGAAACAAAGAAUAGCUGUUGGAUCAUGACUUCUUUUUUUAACCCCUUUUUUUAUAUGUCCCUUGACCAAUUGAAGGCCCAUUGAUAGUGCAGAAAUAUACUGUUCAUUCUCUAAGUUUUCCAGUAGGCAUUUUUGCAUGAAAACACGAGGAACAACUAACUUGUUUUUCUUGUAAAGAGGAAGGAAACCAUUCAUCUGCUUAUCCUUUAUUGACUGAAAAUUGAAGUUUGAUUGUUGUAUCAUGUUAUUGUGAUUGUGUUUUACAGUCGAAGAUGAAAAAGGGAGCUGCACCCUCAUCCACAUCAUUAAAUACUAUCCUGCCUACUACCACCGCAGUUCAUACAGGUUAUUUUUGCCAUACAGGUUAUUUUUGCCAUCCUGUAAAAUUAUUAAUUUUCUUGUCUGAUUUUAGAAUCAUUCAGAAUUGGUUCUAUCAAGCUUUAGUAUUUCCUAAGAAUCAUUCAGAAUUGGUUUUAUCCGGUUUUAAUAUUUCCCAAUUGUGCAUUCACCUUUCUUAUUGAGACAUUCUUGGGUUUCUAGUCAUCGCUGCAAUGUUUUCCUCAGCUAGAUGUGAACCUACACAGUAAAUUUUCAUGCUUGCACAUAUUGAUGGCUGUAUUUUCAUGUGGUUGUAGGUGGUGUGAAAGAUGGUGCAAAUCAUGGUGGCGGCAUUGAACCAGGGACCGUUUUGGUUACUGGUCCAAUGACAUCUGUCCCAUUGUCCGAGAAUGAGAAAACACAAUGCAUGAAUCCAUCACCACCUUCUGGUGAGAACCAAAAGAGCUUAUUAGCUACUUCUCAGCUAAAUCCUAUUAAUACCACCCUUGUUGAAAGGAGUUCCACAGUGCAUGGAGGUGAGGAUCAAUAUAGGGGCUAACUUCGUUUUUGGCUAAAAAUUGAACAAAUUUGUCGUAGAAGAUGUCUUUUAGGUGUCAGUUUUUGUAAAAGGAAAGGUAAUUGUAUGAACCAAUUAGAUACAUAAUUGAAUUUGUAUGUAUGUAACAAGUUUUGUAAAUAGGCAGAGAACGAUUCAAGCUAUAAAUUUUCUCCUAUUUAGUUAUUAUUUAUGAUUGAAUCAUUUAUGGAUUGUUAUUUAUUUGUUUUGUUAUAUAGGAAAUUUUAUUUAAAAAUAAGGCAUUGUUUAUUUCGCGAAAAAUACUUAUAUAUGGAUAAUAUUUUUCAUAGAAAAUGUUUUCUAAAAGAAUAUA